GAUGAACGCUGGCGGCGUGCCUAAUACAUGCAAGUCGAGCGAACAGAUGAGGAUCUUGCUCCUCUGACGUUAGCGGCGGACGGGUGAGUAACACGUGGAUAACCUACCUAUAAGACUGGGAUAACUUCGGGAAACCUGAGCUAAUACCGGAUAAUAUAUUGAACCGCAUGGUUCAAUAGUGAAAGACGGUUUUGCUGUCACUUAUAGAUGGAUCCGCGCCGCAUUAGCUAGUUGGUAAAGUAACGGCCUACCAAGGCAACGAUGCGUAGCCGACCUGAGAGGGGGAACAGGCACACUGGAACUGAGACACGGUCCAGACUCCUACGGGAGGCAGCAGUAGGGAAUAUUCCGCAAUGGGCGAAAGCCUGACGGAGCAACGCCGCGUGAGUGAUGAAGGUCUUCGGAUCGUAAAACUCUGUUAUUAGGGAAGAACAAAUGUGUAAGUAACUAUGCACGUCUUGACGGUACCUAAUCAGAAAGCCACGGCUAACUACGUG
rnacentral:rRNA from 1 species